GGGGUGGUGGCGCAGUUGGCUAGCGCGUAGGUCUCAUAAUCCUGAGGUCUUGAGUUCGAGCCUCUCUCACCCCA
rnacentral:tRNA from 1 species